GGUCAACCCGCUUCCCUAGCGCGUCACCGGCGUGGCGGCCGCCGUUGCUUUCUGGGGUCGUUUUCCAUCUGUGGCCCAGCGCCGUGGGGCUGUGCUCGCGUGAAGUGACAUAAAAAUGCAGGCGAGCUCAUGAAAACUGGCAGUAAUUUACCACAGUAUAAAACCUCACUGUGGUGUUAAAAUCUUGACAGUGCGCGAGGUAGCAGCGGUGGCCCAGAACACGCUUCAAGGGCGCCGGCGUGUUUUCCUUUCCUUUCCUUUCCCUCCUGGCCACCGCGGCACGAGGCUUGGCAAGCCUUUGGCCAAGGGGCGCCGCGACAGGAGCCGUUUAAAAGGUCGCAGCAGUGACAACCCUGGAAUUCAGGAGGGGAAAGGGAAGCGCCCAAUUAUUUUGGUGGGUUCAGGAGAGCGGUUUGCACCCCCAGUGCCAGCGACCGCCUGUACUGAUGUUGCUCCAAGCUCCGUCUGCCCUGAUACACGUGAGGGCGUUUUGCAUGUGCGCACAGGCAGCUCUGGAACCAGGAGAACAUGUUUGUGCUCUAUGUGGUCUAGCAAAUGCAUGAGGACGAGAUGAGUCUCCUCCAGCCUUGCAUUUCUAUUGCUCUGGUGUGAGGAUCAUCAUAACCGUGGGAGACCCCCUCCAUGAUCAACAAACCAAACUUACAUCCCAUCAAUCUUUGGAAAAACACCUUGAAGUCACCGAGGCCUCACAAAAGAGGUUUAUCUGUGGUCACACAGUAAUAGCCAGGGUACCUGAGCUCCUUUUGCAUAAAACGGAUUUUGACAACAAAUUCCCGGAUGGCUUUCAGGGAGUCCUAGGCACGUCCUCCUUUUCAAAGACAAGAAUGUUCUUGGGAUAAGGUUAUUGCUUUAUUGUCUUGGAUGAGAGGGGUUUUGUUGCUUGGUGGGACUGUGUUGAAGAACAUUGAAAGCAGUGUUGUUCUUCUACCAAGGCUUUUUGUAAAGCAAAGGACUGCAGAUUUUCCUUUUGAUGGCCAAAUUCUGUUUCUGUUAAUCUCCUCUGGAAUUUGUUUCACAGCCAGAUACCUCAGCUGAGAAUACUUUGUCUAAUGCUGAAAAAGUUCAGAGCAAAAUGAAAGGAAUUUCACCUGUUGUAUAAUGAACCUUGAGCCCAGCAGCUUUAUGGCUUUAUGUUUAUUGGUUUUUUGCUAGGCACUCUUCACUGGUCCUUAAACAAUGUGUUUUUUAAUGCUGCAAGCAGAGAGGUCUUGCAGAAAGUCAGAUUUGUUCCAAAGUAUCCACUUUGGAGCACAGUAUCUCAGGGUAACCUAUCUCAGGGUACCUAGUGUAGCUGAGAAGAUGCGUGAUAUCUGGGUGUUUGUUCACAGUGCCAGUGCUGAAAGACUUCUGUGUUAUGCUGAACUUGAAUAAACACAGAAGCACAAAAGCA
rnacentral:lncRNA from 1 species